UUACAUAAAUGGGUUAGAGAAAAGCUUAGGGCUGAAAGCCGCCACACCACUGGGUGAAAACGCCCCAGGUUAGUUAGGGAGAUAGUUUAAUGGGAUCAUGAGAAACUUGUUGUAUCACCUGCAAGAAAUUACUUUCCAUCUGGCACCAAUGUACCUUGAUUACAAACCCCACUUGCCCCUCCAGACCCUUUGCUUCUUACACGCACGAUUUAAUGAUUACCGUCUGAUUGUUUUCUCCACGUUCACGUGUGUAAGAGCUUGUUUUCUUUACGUUCACCACGUGGGUAAUAUCUUGUGCACUCUAAAUACAGAGACGAAAGGCCUGUUUGGAGCUCUUGUUUUCUCCCGGGUAUUAGUUUCUCUCAUAUUCAGUUCUGCAUUCGUUCUCCUGCUUCACAAGAGAGAAUUCCAGACUCGUAGUCUGCGACAGUGUUUGCCCCUGGAACACUAGCUGCCAUGGACACUAUGUGUGGGAAGGGACUGAUACACGCAGACAACUACAUGAGUGAGCGUGAAAGUGCAUUAUCCUCCUUCAAGUGAACUUUUCAGUGAAUACAUUGAUUUCAUAAGAAGCCAAUGAAGCUAUGAUUUAUGGAGAAAAAAAGAUAUGGUUAUUUUCUUCAUAUUGUGUAUGAUAAGCAAGAUACCGGCAGACCUAAUUUAUGCAAAACCGUGAUCUUUGUCUUUUGGUCCUGACCUGAUCCUCCAGGGCAUUCUGUUAAAAUACAUUCUGCAGCAAUUACUGAAACAUAAAACAUGGGUUUCCUUUCUUAUUUAAAUUGUUAUAUAAUUUAGAUACAAUAAAGUGGACACAUAUUACAUAUAUAGAUUUAUGAAUAUUUUUAUAAGUAAUCAUUCCAAAACAUGGAAUUUUUUAUAGUAUGGAAAAUCUGCACAAAUUUUCCUUUUUUAUGUGGAGGAAUGAUAGAGCUGUGCUAGUGAGAUCUCUAUUGGUCUGAGGCAGGAGGAAAGAGAAUCCAAAAUUGAGGAAAUGUUUACAAUCCAGAAUUAUGCAACAAGUUUAAUGGUCACCAAAUCAUUUGGAUUGGAACUGUGUGAAGUUUAAAAGGAGAAAAUGACCCAAUUAUUUCAGAACCACAAAGUAGAUGCAUUUGUGUUUUGCAUUUGAAGUGAGGUUGUUCCCAUUUCCAGGCUAGCUGACCCAUAUAUAGUGGGCUCUGGUAUUAGAGAGAACUGUUGUGUUAAAUGACAUACCUAUAAGUGUGUUAAGUGACAUAUAUAUGUGAGGGAUUGUGAUUUAUCAGUGAGUGCUCAAUGGGAGAAGUGAAACACUAGGAGAUGUACAUAUGUAUGUGUUAAAGGAUUUUUGUUUUUUAUAGGAAUUUGAGCCAACAUAAUAUUGAGAGCUGGUUAAGAAAUUUUUUUUAAGGUCCUUGACUUCCUGUCUGACCCUGAGCUCAAAGUUCACAAGAAAGAGUUGUGAGGAAAGAUAUAAAAUGGUAGAGUUCAAGGGUGAGGUAAAACCUACACGCCUGAGCUGGAGUCCAUGAGGAUGGACUGAAAUGUGUCAGUUCUCCUUGUCUCUGACCUUGGUAGUAUGGAGGUCCAACAGAAGCUGGGGCCCUUUGUUAAGGAGCUAAAAAACACAUAUAUCUGACCCAGGAGUUGGAGAAGCUAAAGGAGGUUCUAGAGAACAGUGGAGCACUUGCAGGCUUAGUUACUCAUCAACAAGUUAAGUCAACCAGUCAGCAAUAAGGUUGAUGAGCUAUAAAAUGCUCUUCAUUUGGGCAAUCCAGAUCUCUCAGGAGAAUCUCUGUGGCCCAACCAAAUGGGAACCAUAUAGGGCAGGGAAUUCUGGGAAAUGUAUUUGAGCUUAGUUAAGUUGACAUAUUGCAGAACGACCACAUGAAUUGCUGUUUUUGACAGGCAGAGAAAUUUCACUUAAAUAAUCUUUCUUUAAACCUACCUAAAGUGUUAAAUUCACUCAGAGAUCCUGCUUUCUGUUUUUGAAAUAAUGAUGUACCUGAAGUUGUAUUUUCAUUGCUUAAUCAUGUUGAGUUAUUGGAUUUUGAGCUGUCCCAGAAAGUGUCUGUGUCAUGUAAGAAAUUACCAUAUGAAUGAAGUCAUGAUUGUACUGCUCUCCCACAUCAGUUAACAUUGUGUGUAUGAAAUACAGACCCCGUGCUUGACCUUCUAAUAUUUGGAAGUUUAAAAAUACUAAUACAUAAUAUUUGAAGUGUGUGGAAAUUAUGACUAGAUAAUGAUACAGAGAUGAAAGGAAAAGAAUGAUGAAUGGCAGUUCUAUUUUUUUUUUCUUCUUGAUAACAUUAGAUUUGAGGGGAAAGGAGACAUGGGUAGUCCUUUCAUUUGCUCAUGUUUCUUUUCAUUAAAAUAAUGAUUAAAAGAUUCCAUUGAAUAUUCAGAAUGUCUACUCUCAUUAAUAACUCCACAUAUAAGGAAAACAGAAUGUUAAUAUUUAUUGUAUUUAUCUUUUUAAUAAUUUCUAUUAUUUAUGCAACAGAUAA